rnacentral:rRNA from 1 species
GACGAACGCUGGCGGCGUGCCUAAUACAUGCAAGUCGAGCGGACGGAUGGGAGCUUGCUCCCAGACCGUCAGCGGCGGACGGGUGAGUAACACGUGGGCAACCUGCCUGUAAGACUGGGAUAACUCCGGGAAACCGGGGCUAAUACCGGAUAACUCUUUCCCUCACAUGAGGGAAAGCUGAAAGAUGGCAUCUCGCUAUCACUUACAGAUGGGCCCGCGGCGCAUUAGCUAGUUGGUGAGGUAACGGCUCGCCAAGGCGACGAUGCGUAGCCGACCUGAGAGGGUGAUCGGCCACACUGGGACUGAGACACGGCCCAGACUCCUACGGGAGGCAGCAGUAGGGAAUCUUCCGCAAUGGACGAAAGUCUGACGGAGCAACGCCGCGUGAGUGAUGAAGGUUUUCGGAUCGUAAAACUCUGUUGUCAGGGAAGAACAAGUACCGGAGUAACUGCCGGUACCUUGACGGUACCUGACCAGAAAGCCACGGCUAACUACGUG